rnacentral:lncRNA from 1 species
GGUUCUUAACCAGCAGAGAUUUUGUCCCCCAGGGGACAUUUGGCAAUGUUGUUGCUGCCAGCAUCUAGUGGCUAGAGGCCAGAGACACUGACAAAUAUUCUACAAUGGACAGGGCAGCCCCUCAGAACAAAGCAUCAUUCAACUGUAAAUGUCAACAGUACCUAGUUGAGGAACCCUAAUCCAGAAUAAUACACCUAGUUCAUUCUGCCUACUCCAGAAUUCAAACCCUGGUUUUAAGGGCUAAAACCGGGAUUUCCAGUUAAAAAUUUAGGUUUUUUUUUUUUUUUAUAUAUAUAUUAUUAGAAAAAUAGGCUAGGCACAGUGGCUCACACCUGUAAUCCCAGCACUUUGGGAGGCUGAAGUGGGUGGCUCACCUGAAGUCAGGAGUUCGAGGCCAGCCUGGUCAACAUGGCAAAAUCCCAUGUCUACUGAAAAUACAAAAAUUAGCCGGGCGUGGUGGUGCAUGCCUGUAUUCCCAGCUACUUGGGAGGCUGAGACAUGAGAAUUGCUUGAAUCCGGGAGGCGGAGAUUGCAGUUAGCCAACAUCGUGCCAUUGCACUUUCCAUUUUUAUUCCAGGGAAGUCUUGCCUCAACUGAUUGUAGGCAAAUUAGCUGAUGGGGCUUCACAGCUGUGAUUUACUCACAGUCUUCAUGGGCACAAAGAUUGUCUGCUUCUUUAUUUUACUUUAUUAUUAUUAUUAUUAUUAUUUUUGAGACAGUCUUCGCUCUAUUGCCCAGGCUGGAGUGCACUGGUACUAUCUUGGCUCACUGCAACCUCCACCUCCUGCAUCAGCCACCUGAGUAGCUGGGAUUACAGGUGCAUGCCACCAUGGCCAGCUACUUUUUUUUUUUUUUGUAUUUUUAGUAGAGAUAGGGUUUCACUAUGUUGCCCAGGCUGGUCUUGAACUCCUGGCCUCAUGUGAUCCGCCUGCCUCAGCCUCCCAAGGUGCUGGCAUUACAGGGGUGAACUACUGCGUCUGGCCCUGUCUGUUGCUUUUAUACAUGGCUAAAAUGGAGGAUUUUUAAUGCCACCCAGAAUUUCAAGGAUCAUAAUAUAGUUCCUAAUAUUUUUAUGCUUUGAAGGGAGAACUCAAAAUAAAGAUUUUGAGAUUUUGUUUUUUGCUUCUUGUGUCCUUUACAUAUAAAAAUUAAAAAGAGGUCCAAACACACUUCUCCAGUUGGGAAAGAGUUAUGUUUUGUCUCUAAUGUGAAACUGUGGAACUCUUGUCUUAAUUUUGGCUAGUGGUAAACCAAGGAAAACUGACCGAGCUGACGCAGAGUUGGAGAGCCCAAGUUCCUCAGUCCUUCACAGCCUCCCCUUGGUGAAUUGUGAUGUGUAGGCUAACAUAAAAGCUUUGCGGGAUUUGCCAGGUCAAAUGGGAUUUUCACACUUUGUACUGAUUGGGAGAUGAUAGUGGUUUCUGUAAUCGGUGCCUCAGGGAUUUUUAAAAUGUGUAUUAGACAAAAACCAUCUUAAGAACUUUUGUGAUUAACAAGAGGUAGAAGUCAGAAACUGCUGGAAAGAAAUAGGAAGAUUUAAUAUAAAAGCUAAAUGAUCUUUGCAAUCUCUUCGCAGGAUUUUUAGAAACAGUAGAGGCAGUUUAGGUACUCUAGCAUGCGGAAGUAUGAUAGUUCAUUUUGAUCAUCCAAGAGGGAAACAAAACCUGAAUGCAUUAGAUAUGGGAAUUUCUCUGCCUGAGUGGACUUACAACACUGCUAUACUAGUUUAUUUUUUUCUUUUCUCACUCUCCUUAUUCCUUCUUAUAAAUAUAAGUAAAUUUUGGGGGGCAAUGGUCUGAUAUUGUGUAUUCUGAUUUUUCAAUAUUUUAAGAGAGUUUAAUACUUUUUGCAUAAGAAUAAAACAAAAUAUCAAAAUUGUGUCUUAUGAAUUGUAUAAAACUUUAUGACUGUCUAAAUAAAGUUAUUUGUUUUUCAAAAAAUACUAGAGAGUAUAAAGUCCCAGAGAGUUUACAUCCUUAUUUAUUUAUUUUUUGAACGAGCUAGUGAGCUUCUGCAUUUUGAGAGUACUGGACAUGUAUUUGUUCUGCAGUGGACUGACGAAAGGGAGACAGUCUAUGUUAAAAAUGUUUAUCUGGGAAUAAACUAACAUGAGAAGGCCUGCCAUGGUUAGUAGCUCUUUUAUUUUCUAACAUAGGCAUUACAAAGGGAAAGGGCUUGGUUCCAGGACUCUGGCUCCAAGGGAAGGGUUGUCAGCAGAUCCUUGAACGUUUCUGUUUCUGGCUGGACAGUACAAAAGAUUUAUCUCUGAUUAAUAUUCAGGGAUAAAUUCCUCCAGCUAUC